CACCCAUCUAAUCCUCUCAUAUCAUAUUUGAGGAAGCCAACUCUCUUAGAGGUUGUGGCUCACCCAAGCUUAUGCUAGGACGAGGCAUCAGGGGUAGUAUAGUUUGUUUGAAAUAAACAAAAGGAGAAUGGUUUUAAGGGUUAUGAAAUACUUAGCUCUGUAUCUCUUCUCCUUGUGAUCUCAACUAGGUAAAUUUAUUGUAACCAACAAAUUGUUGAAUUCUGGUUUCUAAUUCAUUCUGCUAUCUACUUCCAUUUUAUGGGUGAGUUCAUCCCAUUCACAUUCACAUAAUAUCUGUGGAUUUUCCUCCAUCCUUUUUUAUCUGUUUCUCUUUCUCUUGUUAUUUUGUCCCUCUUCUAAAGUCUGUUUUGCUUUCAGAAAUAAAGGUGAUGAGCUACUACCUUCUUUUAUCUUCCUUCCCUUUUAUUACAGUAUUUUUCUCUUAUCUGCUUCCCCUUCUACUAAACUUUUGGGUAAAAAUUCUAUUGCCCAUUGAUUAUAAAAAUAUAUUUUCCCUUCUCAAAUCAAUUUCAAUGUUAGUAAGAUUCAAGCACUGUCCACUUCAAACAACACCCUCUUCUGCCACCUUUGUGCUCAUUGUUCUUAUUCAUCCCCUUCUUUCUGGGGGAAGUUUUAACAUGCCUAGAGUAGAUAUCCCACUAUUGUAUAGGUUUGAGGCAUGUUGGUUAUUCCCAACCUGGCAUACCAUGCCUGUUGAAACAGUUUCAGGGGAGUAUUUUACAAGGAUUUUAUGGGGGUAGGAAUAUUGUACAUGCUUCUUAGAGCUCUUUGAUCCACAGGUAAGAGCUGGGGAGCAGGUGACACUAAAGGAGGAAAGCAGCCAUGUAAGAGGCAAAGUAAGAACUCACAGAAGAGGUACUAUUCACAUUAGUCAUUCUUACAUAGCUGAGGCAUGAGAGAAAUGGGAUUCAAAUCCAGUUCUUUUUAGCUCUGCAUUCAACUCUAGCCACUCUACCAUGUUACUACAUUAAAUAAUUAAAAGUAUAA